UACGAAGGGGGCUAGCGUUGCUCGGAAUUACUGGGCGUAAAGGGCGCGUAGGCGGACAGCUUAGUCAGAGGUGAAAGCCCAGGGCUCAACCUUGGAACUGCCUUUGAUACUGGCUGUCUUGAGUUCGGGAGAGGUGAGUGGAAUACCGAGUGUAGAGGUGAAAUUCGUAGAUAUUCGGCGGAACACCAGUGGCGAAGGCGACUCACUGGCCCGAUACUGACGCUGAGGCGCGAAAGCGUGGGGAGCAAACAGG
rnacentral:rRNA from 1 species